UUCCCCAAUUCACCCCAAAACCUUUGUCUUACUUUCACCGUCGAUUACGCCGCCGGCCCUAUUUCGCGUCGAAAUUCCUAGAUCCCCUCCGCCUACCUCAUUUCUCAUUUUGUGGGGUUCAGAAGGAGCGGCUGGUGCAGGAGGAUAUGUGCGUCAUGUCUGGGAGUGGCGCCGUGAUAUCUGCCCCAUCGACCAAACCCUACCCACACAUGCCUUUCAAGUGCACUGACUGCGCUCCCCUCUUUCACGAAGGGAUAUCUAAUGCGCAAUGCUGGGGCUUGUAUUCACAGUCAUGGACUGGAGUCUUGUCUCAUAACGAUGGUCAAUCCUUUGGUAAAGGAGUUCUGACAACAAAGGAGAGCCACACAGUUGCACUGAAAUUUCAUUGUCAGUUGGAGUCGUUUAACCAUCGCAAAUCUUGUUAGUAACCGAUGUCUAAGAAAGCCGUUGCAGCAAAGGCAGCUGGGCGUGAUGCGCAUAUAUGUUGGUCCCCUUCCAGAGAACCAUGGUUUCAAAAUUAUUUGAUUGCAGAAAUAUAAAUGGAGACGAACUAUCCCACCUUCAGUUUGGUAAAUUAUGACUACUUUAGAGCUCCUAAUUGUUGAUAUUGCUAAAUUAUCCUUGUGGUUUGAACUAACAAGAACAUGUUCAUGUCAUGGGCCUUUGUGCUACUGUGGGCAGAAAAAAGAGUAGGUUUUGCCCAUGCCAAUUACACUGCUCUUUUCAUCCAUUCAUUGUGCAAUAGGUGAAUUGUGGUGUGAGAUAUGGACCUUGAUAUUCCUCUUAGUUUUGUUAGGAAAGUUUGUUUGCGCGCGACAACCACAAAGGAGUUUCAUUGUGGCUUGACGUUACAGAUGAUAGUUUCAGGCCUUCUGAUAAGGAGCUGCAACAAUAAUCUGGCACGAUUGGGGUUGUUCAGGGGGGAAGAAGCUACUGUGCAGGACCAGGUUUGUGUCUAGAUCUUAUGUUGCACCGCACCAUCGAUCUCGCGUGGCUAGGUUUGAAACAAUUUGUCGAUUGCCGGCUAAUCCUGUGGUACAGCAGGCUGCAGGGGACUUUCACAUAAGAACACAAUGCAAGGCCUUCACAUUAAACACAUCCAUUGAUGUCUUGUAUUUUAUGAAUAAUAUUUUGCUUCUCUAUUUUCCUUUCAAGUAAACGUAAGAUUCGUUUUAUGAGUAGUUACUUCA